rnacentral:rRNA from 1 species
GGCCGCCGGGGGGCUUACGCCCCCGGGUCCGCCCCCGCCAAAUACACCCUCUAACUCUGUCUGAAAAUUGAAGUCUGAAUGAAAAUAUAAAUUAUUUAAAACUUUCAGCAACGGAUCUCUUGGAUCCGGCAUCCAUGAAGAACGCAGCGAAGUGCAAUACGUAAUGUGAAUUGCAAAUUCAGUGAAUCAUCUAGUCUUUGAACGCACAUUGCGCCCCCUGGUAUUCCGGGGGGCAUGCCUGUCCGAGCGUCAUUGCUGCCCUCAAGCCCGGCUUGUGUGUUGGGCCCCGUCCCCCGAUCUCCGGGGGACGGGCCCGAAAGGCAGCGGCGGCACCGCGUCCGGUCCUCGAGCGUAUGGGGCUUUGUCACCCGCUCUGUAGGCCCGGCCGGCCCUUGCCUAUCAACCCAAAUUUUUAUCCAGGUUGACCUCCGAUCA